CUCCGGGCUAACGGGGACAGAGCCGGGCCGCGCGGUGCCUCCGGGGCGUGCAGCGCAGCCCCGCAGCUUUUGUGCGCCCGCAACCGGGAUGCGCGCACACACACACACGCCUGCACGCACACUUCCACGCUCAGCACGCCGGGCCGCGCGGCCGCAAACUUCACCCCCGCGAAGCAGCGGGGGGAGCGGACAUCUUGGGGCAGCCCCGCACCGCCUCCCCCCCACUCUCCGCGGAGCCAGGAGACAUUUUACCGAGCCCCCGCCCCGGCGGGUCGGCUCCCGCUUUCCCCUCCCCACCCCGAGGAGCGGCGGAGCCGCGCGGCGUUACCUCGGAGCCCCGCGCCUCACUCCAUCCCUCCGGCGGCGGCGGGCGCGGGAGCCCAGCACCGCGGCGGGCGGGGAGGGGCGGAGCGGAGGGCCGGGGGCAGGAGGGGGCGGAACGAUGUGGCAGGAAGGGACACCUGGGCUCCUCCCCUCCGUUGCUAUCUGCCCGAGGGGGUGCCCUGCCCCCAGCGCCGCUCGGCUGAGUUUGAGGGGCCGCGAGGAGGAGGAGGAGGGGGAGAGAGAGAGGGAGGAAGAAAAAAGGGAAAAAAAAAAAAAAAAAAAGGAGGAGGUGGCUCUGCCGAGGCCCCGCCCGCCGCCCUCCAUUGUUGCUCCCGCCGCCCUCACUGCCGAUGGAGCGGAGCCGGACCCGCGGUGGGGGGAGCGGCACGGGGGAGGCACAGGGGAAGGCUCCCAGGCGGAAAGGAGGCAGGGGACAGGAAAGAACAUCCUGCUCUUUUAAUAUGAGCAAAAUACAAGUUAUUUUUGGAAGAAAAAAAUCACGCUCAGAGCACAUUUUUCAAAAGACAUCUCUAAUCUGUGAUUCUGAUGAUGCACGUGGAGCAAAGCACAUCCUUCUGCACCCAGAAACCAAGCUUUAUCACCUCAGCACCAUCCACGCUCAGGCAAGUUUCUGUCGGUUGAACAGUGGGUUAGCAAUGCUCUGUCGGGAUGCCGGCUGUGCCCAGAAGCUGCCUCCAAGGGGAGUGCUGGGGGCAGUGGUGGAGAGCUCAGCCCAGCUGCUGGGUCAUGCAUGGUGAGCUCUGCAAGGGGCUUCUGGGCCUGUGAUGGAUUACAGGCCAGGCUUCCACUUCUUUGUUAUCUCCAAAUGUAGGACAAAGCUCACACCCUCAGUCUUUCCGCACUGGAUGUCUUAUGCUAAGCAUGAACCUACAGAGGCGUGUGUGUUCUCAUCUCCUGGGCUGAAGCUUGGAAGUUCAGAGCAUGAAGUCAAACCUGGGGCCUUUGGGGUGGGCCACUGCUUAUUUUGUUUGAUGGAUCGCUUGAAAGGACAGCAUAGAGAUGAAAUCAGCCUCAGAUUUGUUAAUGUGAAUAAACAGUAUUAAUUCAUGAAUAACUUUCGAUUC
rnacentral:lncRNA from 1 species